rnacentral:tRNA from 1 species
UGGCCUAUAGCUCAACGGGCAGAGCGCCGGAUUGUUAAUCCGUAGGUUCCUGGUUCGAAUCCAGGUGGGCCAGCCA